UAGGGAAUCCUCCACAAUGGACGCAAGUCUGAUGGAGCAACGCCGCGUGAGUGAAGAAGGUUUUCGGAUCGUAAAGCUCUGUUGUUGGUGAAGAAGGAUAGAGGCAGUAACUGGUCUUUAUUUGACGGUAAUCAACCAGAAAGUCACGGCUAACUACGUGCCAGCAGCCGCGGUAAUACGUAGGUGGCAAGCGUUGUCCGGAUUUAUUGGGCGUAAAGCGAGCGCAGGCGGAAUGAUAAGUCUGAUGUGAAAGCCCACGGCUCAACCGUGGAACUGCAUCGGAAACUGUCAUUCUUGAGUGCAGAAGAGGAGAGUGGAACUCCAUGUGUAGCGGUGGAAUGCGUAGAUAUAUGGAAGAACGCCAGUGGCGAAGGCGGCUCUCUGGUCUGCAACUGACGCUGAGGCUCGAAAGCAUGGGUAGCGAACAGGAUUAGAUACCCUGGUAGUCCAUGC
rnacentral:rRNA from 1 species